UUGCUUUGGCAGCACAUAUACUAAAAUUGGAACAAUACAGAGACGAUUAGCAUGGCCCAAAGAUGACAGGCAAAAUUUUUAUGUGAAAGUGAUAUAA
rnacentral:snRNA from 1 species